GAUGAACGCUGGCGGCGUGCCUAAUACAUGCAAGUCGAGCGAACGGACGAGAAGCUUGCUUCUCUGAUGUUAGCGGCGGACGGGUGAGUAACACGUGGAUAACCUACCUAUAAGACUGGGAUAACUUCGGGAAACCGGAGCUAAUACCGUAUAAUAUUUUGAACCGCAUGGUUCAAAAGUGAAAGACGGUCUUGCUGUCACUUAUAGAUGGAUCCGCGCUGCAUUAGCUAGUUGGUAAGGUAACGGCUUACCAAGGCAACGAUGCAUAGCCGACCUGAGAGGGUGAUAGCCCACACGGGAACUGAGACACGGUCCAGACGCCUACGGGAGGCAGCAGUAGGGAAUCUUACGCAAUGGGCGAAAGCCUGACGGAGCAACGCAGCGUGAGUGAUGAAGGUCUUCGGAUCGUAAAACUCUGUUAUUAGGGAAGAACAUAUGUGUAAGUAACUGUGCACAUCUUGACGGUACCUAAUCAGAAAGCCACGGCUAACUACGUG
rnacentral:rRNA from 1 species